rnacentral:rRNA from 1 species
CCCCACUGCUAUCGGGGUGGGACUAAAACAUGCAAGUCGAGCGCCUCCAAGCUAUGGUGAAGGCGCGGCAAACGGCUCAGUAACACGUGGCCAACCUACCCUUGGGACGGAGACAACCCCGGGAAACUGGGGCUAAUCCCCGAUAGGUAAGGAAUCCUGGAAUGGAUCUUUGCUGAAAGGGCGUCUAGACCAUGCUUCUUGACGUCGCCCAAGGAUGGAGCCGCGACCGAUCAGGUAGUUGGCGAGGCAACGGCUCACCAAGCCUAUAACCGGUACGGGCCGUGAGAGCGGGAGCCCGGAGAUGGGCACUGAGACAAGGGCCCAGGCCCUACGGGGCGCAGCAGUUGCGAAAACUCCGCAAUGCGCGAAAGCGUGACGGGGCUACCCCGAGUGCCGCCCGUUGAGGGCGGCUUUUCCACGGUGUAAGGAGCCGUGGGAAUAAGGAGAGGGCAAGACUGGUGUCAGCCGCCGCGGUAAUACCAGCUCUCCGAGUGGUGGGGACGAUUAUUGGGCUUAAAGCGUUCGUAGCCGGCUUAACAAGUCUUCCGUUAAAUCCAACGAUCUAAUCGUUGGGCUGCGGGAGAUACUGUUGGGCUAGGAGGCGGGAGAAGCCGACGGUAUUCUCGGGGUAGGGGUGAAAUCCUGUAAUCCCGGGAGGACCACCAGUGGCGAAGGCGGUCGGCUAGAACGCGCUCGACGGUGAGGGACGAAAGCUGGGGGAGCGAACCGGAUUAGAAACCCGGGUAGUCCCAGCUGUAAACGAUGCGGGCUAGGUGUUGGGGUGGCCACGAGCCACUUCAGUGCCGCAUGGAAGCAAUUAAGCCCGCCGCCUGGGGAGUACGGCCGCAAGGCUGAAACUUAAAGGAAUUGGCGGGGGAGCACCACAAGGCGUGAAGCUUGCGGUUU